rnacentral:rRNA from 1 species
UAAUACGUAGGUGGCGAGCGUUGUCCGGAUUUACUGGGCGUAAAGAGCGCGCAGGCGGUCGUUCAAGUCGAGUGUGAAAGCCCCCGGCUCAACUGGGGAGGGUCAUUCGAUACUGAUCGACUCGAAGGCAGGAGAGGGAAGUGGAAUUCCCGGUGUAGUGGUGAAAUGCGUAGAUAUCGGGAGGAACACCAGUGGCGAAGGCGACUUCCUGGCCUGUUCUUGACGCUGAGGCGCGAAAGCUAGGGGAGCAAACGGGAUUAGAUACCCUGGUAGUCCACGCCCUAAACGAUGUCAACUGGUUGUUGGACGGCUUGCUGUUCAGUAACGAAGCUAACGCGUGAAGUUGACCGCCUGGGGAGUACGGCCGCAAGGUUG